rnacentral:rRNA from 1 species
UUGAAAGGGAAACGAUUGAAGUCAGUCGUACCAGCGGGAAAUCAACCUUUCGAGUGGGGGUUUUGGAGUUUUUUGAAGAGUGUCAAAACCUUUGAGAUUUCAAAAUAUUCGCUCUUUUGGUGUACUUUCUCGUGGGUAGGUUAACAUCGAUUUUGAUCAUCAUAAAAAGAUUGGAGGAAUGUAGCUUCGAUCUUGUAUUGAAGUGUUAUAGCCUUUGGUAAAUGUGAUGAUUAGGAUCGAGGAUUGCAACGAAUACCCUUUUGGGCUAUCCGCCUGAUCUCUGAUACGUGGCCUUGGCAUCGAAAGCUUGCUUAUGGUAUUAAGGUAUUACGGUCAAAAGGUUAGAACGGAUUACAUUCGUUAAGGAUGUUGACGUA